CUUCCCAUCUCCCCAUAACAUCAAUCACGCGUAACAUCGAUUCCAAGGAGCCAUCAACACAUCUCCCUCUCCUUACUCAAAAAAGAACGACAAACACUCCAUUUUCUUUCCCCCAUCUCUUCUCUCUCCCCCAAAUGAGGGUGGCUAGCGGCCGUAGCUGCCGCCGUCUACCACCACUGCACCGAAUUCCCCCAUUUUUAAAUCCCCAAGACCGUGAGUUCGAAGAAACCAGAGAAUGUCAGCCCCUAAAUCGCGCAAUAACGGAAAAUUUCUUAGAAUUCGCAACAAAAGGUUGGAAAAAGGCUGAAAUUUGCAGAUCGACGUCAAAUUUGAAUUCAAAUAUCAUCUCCAUAAAAAUGUUGUUUCAAAUCUGGACUUUGAAGUCCUUCUCAAGGCAUGAGCAGCGAGGGAGGUAAAAAAGAAGGUCUGCGAGUUAGAGGUUUGAGAGAAAAUAAGAAAGGCUGAGAUUGAAAAAAAGAAGAAGAAAAACAUAGAAAAUCGAGUGAAGUAAGAAAAGAAAAUUAGCCGGAGAGUUUGUUGUUUCUCUUUUCGAUUGUGGGCCAAACUCCGAGUUCCGACAUUGAAUGUAGUCGAAAAUCCUUGAUAAGAAGCCCGAGUUUUCUUCCCGACAAAAGGUCUGCGGAUAUGUGGACUUGCGCGAUUAUUUUGAUUUGGGAUAGCUGGUUGUUUCUGGUUGCAAACCGAGGUCAAAGUUAGUUUAUCGUGCAUAUGAGAUUACCUGUGUGGGCGAUGAUAAUUUUACAGGGUCCUAUGGGUUGGUGGACAGUGGGAGUAUAUUUUGUUCUUCACUGUAGUGAAGUUUUCAGAUUUAGCACACGGGAGGUAUAUACAUUCUUUUGCUACCACGUAUAAGGUUCUAGUUCGAGUGUGUCUCAGCUUGGUUGAUUCGGGCGACAUUUAGUGUUUUCAAGGUAGUGGUUGACUUUCAGGCGUCCGGAUGUGUUCUACUACCUUUCUUAUAGAUUAUGUCCUUACUUUCAUUUCCUAGAUAGAGUUUCUCUUGUAUUUGGAUAUCUUAUGUAUUUCUUUUGAAUUUGAGUUGUAUCAGAUAUGUUCUUAUACUAUUGACAUCAUGUUUUGAGAAUUAUGAUUGUAUUAUUGAUUUUGCA